AGCGGCGAACGGGUGAGUAACACGUAGGUGAUCUGCCCAUCAGACGGGGACAACGAUUGGAAACGAUCGCUAAUACCGGAUAGGACGAAAGUUUAAAGGUGCUUCUGGCACCGCUGAUGGAUGAGCCUGCGGCGCAUUAGCUAGUUGGUAGGGUAAAGGCCUACCAAGGCGACGAUGCGUAGCCGACCUGAGAGGGUGAACGGCCACACUGGGACUGAGACACGGCCCAGACUCCUACGGGAGGCAGCAGUAGGGAAUCUUCGGCAAUGGGCGAAAGCCUGACCGAGCAACGCCGCGUGAAUGAUGAAGGCCUUCGGGUUGUAAAAUUCUGUUAUAAGGGAAGAACGACUUCAGUAGGAAAUGGCUAGAGUGUGACGGUACCUUAUGAGAAAGCCACGGCUAACUACGUGCCAGCAGCCGCGGUAAUACGUAGGUGGCGAGCGUUAUCCGGAAUUAUUGGGCGUAAAGAGCGCGCAGGUGGUUGAUUAAGUCUGAUGUGAAAGCCCACGGCUUAACCGUGGAGGGUCAUUGGAAACUGGUCGACUUGAGUGCAGAAGAGGGAAGUGGAAUUCCAUGUGUAGCGGUGAAAUGCGUAGAGAUAUGGAGGAACACCAGUGGCGAAGGCGGCUUCCUGGUCUGUAACUGACACUGAGGCGCGAAAGCGUGGGGAGCAAACAGGAUUAGAUACCCCUGGUAGUCCACGCCGUAAACGAUGAGUGCUAAGUGU
rnacentral:rRNA from 1 species